rnacentral:rRNA from 1 species
AUUGAACGCUGGCGGCAGGCCUAACACAUGCAAGUCGAGCGGAGCGGCGGACGGGUGAGUAAUGCCUAGGAAUCUGCCUGGGAGUGGGGGAUAACGUCCGGAAACGGGCGCUAAUAACGCAUACUAUCAGCUGAGACUAGGUCGGAUUGGCUAGUUGGUGGGGUAAAGGCCUAACAAGGCGACGAUCCGUAACUGGUCUGAGAGGAUGAUCAGUCACACUGGAACUGAGACACGGGCCAGACUCCUACGGGAGGCAGCAGUGGGGGAUAUUGCACAAUGGGCGAAAGCCUGAUGCAGCGACGCCGCGUGGGGGAUGAAGGCUUUCGGGUUGUAAACCUCUUUCGAUAUCGAACGGGUAGGUGGAGAAGAAGCGCCGGCUAACUACGUGCCAGCCGCCGCGGUAAUUC